UACGAAGGGGGCGAGCGUUGUUCGGAUUUACUGGGCGUAAAGGGCGCGCAGGCGGCGCAUUUUGUCAGGCGUGAAAUCCCCGGGCUCAACCUGGGAACUGCAUUUGUGACUGUAGAGCUGGAGUACGGUAGAGGGGGAUGGAAUUCCGCGUGUAGCAGUGAAAUGCGUAGAUAUGCGGAGGAACACCGAUGGCGAAGGCAAUCCCCUGGACCUGUACUGACGCUCAUGCACGAAAGCGUGGGGAGCAAACAGG
rnacentral:rRNA from 1 species